rnacentral:rRNA from 1 species
GCAAAAACCUAGCCCAAACAAUUAACAAUUACCAAUUACCCUAAAAAAUAACUACAAUAUACAACUAAAACUUUAAAACAUUCUUUAUUCGUCUUAGUAUAGGAGAUAGAAAAGACUAUUGGAGCUAUAAAAACAGUACCGCAAGGGAAAGCUGAAAAACAUGAAAUAACCACCAAGCAAUAAAUAAAGCAAAGAUUUAACCUUGUACCUUUUGCAUAAUGAUUUAGCCAGCACAUUCAAGCAAAGAGAACUAAAGUAUGAAACCCCGAAACCAAGUGAGCUACUUAUGGGCGACCAAAAUUAAGGUUAUUAACCGUCUCUGUGGCAAAAGAGUGGAAAGACCAAUAAGUAGAGGUGAAAAGCCUAACGAACUUGGUGAUAGCUGGUUGCUCAGAAAAAGAAUAGAAGUUCUACCUUAAAUUAUCCAACAAACAAUAAAAAGUCCAUAAUACGAGAAAUUUAAGAGAUAAUCAGUAGGGGUACAGCCCUACUGAACAAGGAAACAACCAAAUAGUGGAAGUAAAAAAUUUAAACACAAACUAGUAGGCCUUAAAGCAGCCACCAUUAAAUAAAGCGUUAAAGCUAAGCCGAAAUAAAUAUAUACAAAAAUUUGUAACCCCACACCAAACUGAGCUAUUCUACCACAAUAGAAGAAUUAAUGCUAAAAUGAGUAACAAGAAUAAAAAAAUCUCUAAAGCUCUAGCUUAAAUCUGUUCAGACAACCUACUGAUUAUUAACAACUGAAUAAAUAAAACAACUAAACUAAACUUUAAACCUAUGAACCACAUUGUUAACCCAACACAGGAGUGCACACAAGAAAGAUUAAAAUUUGUAAAAGGAACUAGGCAAACAAGAACCCGACUGUUUACCAAAAACAUAGCCCCUAGCAAUACAAGUAUUAGGGGUGAUGCCUGCCCAGUGACGCUGUUUAACGGCCGCGGUAUCCUGACCGUGCGAAGGUAGCAUAAUCACUCGUCUUUUAAAUAAAGACUAGAAUGAAUGGCUAAACGAGGCUCUACCUGUCUCUUACAAAUUAUCAGUGAAAUUGAUAUCCUCGUGCAAAAGCGAGAAUAAUCCCAUAAGACGAGAAGACCCUGUGGAACUUUAAGUAUAAGUCAACUACUAUAUUACAACACCAACUCUACUGAAACACCACAUACAAUUACUUGACCUUACUUUCGGUUGGGGUGACCUCGGAGAACAAUAAAACCUCCAAAAAUAUAUACUAAGAUUAACAACCCAAAGUGCCCAAGGCAAAACGAUCCAAUACAUUUGAUCAGCGAACCAAGCUACCCCAGGGAUAACAGCGCAAUCCCCUCUUAGAGUCCAUAUCAACGAUGGGGGUUUACGACCUCGAUGUUGGAUCAGGACAUCCUAAUGGUGCAGCCGCUAUUAAGGGUUCGUUUGUUCAACGAUUAAUAGUCCUACGUGAUCUGAGUUCAGACCGGAGUAAUCCAGGUCGGUUUCUAUCUAUGAUUGUAAAUUUUCCAGUACGAAAGGAUCGAAAAUAUGUAGCCUAUAUAAAAUACAUGCUGCACUUUACAUUAGUGAACACAACUCAACUAAGUACAAAGACAAUCACCAUUUUAACCUUAAAUAAAGGC